CCGCCCGCGCCCGCCGCCCGGCUCCCGCGGCGCUCGGGGGCGGCUCGCCUGACGGACCAGAAUGGAAGAGUGUGAAGCGUUUCAAUUUUGUUUUGGUCAGCUGAGUUUUUAUUUUUACCCUCAGAGGACGCUGACAGCCGAGCACCCUCCAACUUUUGCCAGGACUCUCCGGUCCCCCUCGAUGCGAGGGCCCGGGGCUCCUGAGAGGCCGCCGACCGAGGGACGUGUGGAGCGCGGAGCCCCACAGGAGCGCGCAGGUCGCCGGGUCGCUGACACAACCCGCUGCUUCAGGCGCCAGUUCUAAAGCGCUGCCUCUAACCGUGAGGAGCUUUUCAACCAGGAGAGAAAGUAGAAGAUGCAAUAAAAGGCGGGGUCUCCCUCUGUUUCUCAGGCCGGACUGCGGUGGCGCGAUCGUAGCUCACAGCAGCCUCGAACUCCUGUCCUCAUUGAUCUUCCCGCCUCGGCCGUCCAAAGUGCUAGGAUUACAGGAGAAAGCCAACAUGCCUGGCCAUGACAAGACUUUGAAAAGGAACCUAUCCUGUAUAUCCACCAAAAUGAGGGAAUAAAUCAAGAAAGUGGAAAAUAUGAGGUGUAGAAAGUAGAAGAUACAACCCAGGGAAGCAGUGAGGGGAACCUUCAGGAUCACCACCAUGCAAUGGGCUCAGCAAGAUCACCAGUCCAGACUAGAGCAACAUGACUCAAGAGGCAGGUAUUUUGAGGACUGUUUUCGCAAUGCUUUCUGCCAUAUCUUCUUUUUAAUCUAAAGAAACUACUGGAAAAUAUACUUCACCAACACAAGAAAAUAAGCCAAUAAAAAGAAGGCGGCCUGAGUCCCAGUAUAUAGGGAAUAUGUCCCAAGAGAAUGGUGAAGGCAAUUCCAAAGCUGAGAGCGAGAGAAGUCCAAGGGUAACUCUACAGCAAGCCCAGAGAGCACUAGCCCCAGAGAGAAUAUUAGUUUCCUGGAGAGAGGGCUCUAAACAAAACAACUGGAAUGGAGAGAUUACCUGAUGUGAAUGGUCUUAUGGGAAAAUGCACUGUGACACUAUGGGAAGACAUGGAGAAAAUUACCAAUAGAUUAAGAAAAAAAGGCACUAACCAAAUUUAAAAAAAAUUAAAGCAUGCUUUACUUCAGGAAAAAAUAGCAAGGUCAUUGAAAACAAGAAAAGCCUGAGAAACUGUCACUACCAAGAGGAGCAGGAGACAUGACAACUAUAAUAAAUGUAUCCUGGAUGUGUUGUCCUGAAAGGGAUCCUAGAACACGGAAUACAUAAUUGAGCAAAAACUAGAGAAAUCUGAAUAAACUACAGACUUUGGUUAAUACUGAUGCAUUGAUAUUUAUCCGUUGUAACAAAUGUUCUAUACUAAUGCAAGAUGUCAGUGGGAGAAACUGGGUGCAGGGUAUGUGAGAACCCUACAUGUCCUAACUUCACAAUUUUUCUGUAAAUCUAAAAUAAAGUUUAUUUUUUUAAAAAAAGAAAGAAAAUCAUCAUUAAAUAUACUACAACUUUCACCUGUGAGCAGUAUUUGUGUAGGCACAAUAAAAAUGCAAAUACUGAUUUAACCAAAAAUUGUAACACAACUGCAUUGGAAGGGCGGGGACAAGUGCAUAAAGCAGAGCAACGGCAGAGCAAGUGAACUGAACUCUUACUCACCAUAGAAAAGAUAAGCAGACGAUGUCUAACACUGACGUUUGAUAGCAGUGUAGACCUGUUACUUAGAAACGUGAAGGUGGCAGCAGAAACAGCUAAGAGUAGAAAGUGGAGCCUCUAAGGAAGAGGAUUGAAGAAAUGGGGGCCAGAUGGGGCAAAGAACCGCUGCAUGUCAUUGGCCUUGGCAAUGCUACUGUAGUUUUUGGGUUUUGCGCAUGUUAUUUAUUUGAUGAAAUAAACAUUAACUAAAAAAUCAAA